rnacentral:lncRNA from 1 species
UCAAUAUCGACAGUGCAUAGGACUGCAAUAUAAUAAACCCAAAGGUCUCAUAUAUAUUAAAUUGAUUCUGUUGCAUUACAUUGAGCACAAUCCAAAGAUUACAAGAUGUGAAACAAUCUAGUAGUAGGCUAAUUCUCAACCUUGCAAUUAACAUCUCCGACAUUCUAAAACAUAUUGUUUGAAACAUUGACCUAAAGAAUAACAUUCUAAAAGAUAAUGUGAAACUAUCUAGUAGUAGCCCAUUCACGGCCUUGCAAUCAGCAUCCAAGCCAUGCAUCAUGAAUUUAUCUUCGUGAUCAACAACAACAAGGAAAUGAGAUCAGUAAAUUAAGGUAGUCAUAAUCAAGUUAAAAAAGGCAGUAAAAUUUAGAGGAGCGGCAUACAAAGGUUGAUGGCCAUGCAACAAUUGAUCAUGUUGCAUAUAUUAAGUGGCAUGUUCUAAAUCAUCAGCAAUUUUUCACGUUGUAUAUCGAAUGAAUGACCUGAUACAAUGUGCACCGUAUUAUUAUUGCACAAAAUAGAACUGACAACAAACUAAGAAGAUAGGCUGAUCAUUAGUCAUUCAUUGUCUACAUGUGCAUGCAUUGUGUUAGUUUGGUACCAGAUAUCAUACGUUUCAAUUACAAUACAAGAUGUGCAGUUUUUAUGGUUGAAGAGAUAUGUACGGACACCAUAAUAGAGUAAUUGGUGUAUCAAUUCAUUACCUGUCCUGAAUGUUGCCGCUGCCACCACAGUCUAAGCAUCCAAGGUCAUGUUCAGUAUUCUGCAAAUCUGAGGGAAAAUUAACUUUCGCUAGCUUUGUUCUUUUAGAUUAUGAACUACAUAUUCUAAAUAUUUAAGGACAACAUAACAUGAUAGAUAACAUAUAAUUUACAGAGCCAUAAAGUAAGGUCGAUCCAAUAGAGAUAUUGUGCCAAAGAUGUGGCCAAUACGUGAAUUGUAGAAAUAUGUAACGUGAUGGACCUAGAGGACUUGCUGCAGGCGUGAACAGCCGUUGCCGUGCCCUACCACGACACAUUGCUGCUAGAAUGCCGCACCAUUUCAAUGUAAAUAUGCAUGAUGAAGAGCGAACAAAAUCUAGAUUGUUAAGAUGGGAAAGUCAUCUUUGGGAAGAAGCGAACACCUCUUAGCUGAAAUAGGCAACUUCAUGGGAAGACAUGAACACAAAUCGUGCAGCAUUGUGAGAGUAGGGAAAUUAAAAAUCUUACUGCCUCAUGGACCAGGAAUGGUUUUUCCAAAUAAAUAAAUUGAUGUUGCACAACCACCCUUGUUUCUAUGACCAAACAACAAUUCAGCUACUUCCUCAACAUAAACAGUUUAGAGGAAUUUCGGAUCUAAUCGACAUCUUUUGCAACUUUAGGAAGCAGCUUCCUCAACAUAAACAAAGAGCCGUGGGAUAUGAUGAUUAUUUCUAUUAUAUAGACUGUUUGGCCGGCUCGGAACCGGACAGUGUUAGACAACAUUAGAGUCCGUACAGAAAUCGUUGUAUAUCAAUGUGCGGAGCUGGUGAAAAUCUUGGCGUGCAGAGCAAAAAAGAAAGAGCUUAGAUCAAUCAGAAAUGAUAAGGAGAUUGGCAAGCUAGUUCAGUCCUAGUUCUACUUAUUUUUCCCAUUAUUUUGUAUCAUGUUUUCCGUACCUGACUUCCUAUUGUUUCUGCUUGUGCACAACAGUUGAAUGGGCUGCAUGUAACACAAGCUCUGCCCGGAGCUUGACUCUAUUUAAUGUUAAUAUCAAGGUAGGGUCCGCUCCUCCCGAAUUGCUUAAAAACACUUAGCUACACCCCUAAUCAGGCCCAAAUGUUGCAUACAGUUGACAUAAAAAACAAUCAUCCAGGUUUGCGUAUAAAUUUGUACUCUAGAGGACUAAUUAGAGGAACACUAGCCAAAAAUUAACCAUGGCAGUACUAAUAUUUAUGAAUUUACUGGAAUCAGUAUAGAUGGACAUACUCGUCAAUCCAAAAUUAAUUAAUUCACGCAUGAGCUAAAGCGGAUGCUCGAAUUUGCAAAAACAUCUAGGAGCACCGAAGUGUCAAUAAUGUUGUAGAAAUCGGGGGUACAUGCAGUUUACUUUGGGAAAAGGGAUCAGUUACCUUCAUUGAGGGGGAUGCAUACAGGCGAGGCGGGGGUUGACUGGAACCUAUGGCAUCUUACCCUGGAAAGAGUGGCUGUAGUUGAGGAAUGACCGACGCAGGCAGAGAUUCAACGAAGAAAGGACAGAUCAAAUAAAUCAAGAAAUUGAAAGUAGUACGAGAGAUUGAAACACCUAAAUAACCGAAGAAAAUGGCGGCUGCUCUGGAGAUGUAGAAGAAGCAUGGUGUCC